AAACCUCUUCACCGGGAGCGGUGCCGCUGUCAGCGGUGUGCACCCCGUUUGUUACCUCUCAGGCUCUUCUUAAAGGCAUUCGUCUCUAUUCUUAGUAAAGGAAGCUAUGAGCUGGGUUUUUCAUGAGGCAUCUGAUGAGUUUUGGUAGACUGAAGUUUACAAAAUCUUAAAAUACUGCAUUACAGGAUUUUUUGCUCCUCCUAAAGCAAAAUACCACUUUAAAUGAACCAGUUUGGUGAGGAUUUUCAGAGAAAAAAGGAAGGUGACAGUAUUUUGGAGAACCCAUCGAUUCCAAAUCCUUUUCCCGAGCUGUGUUGCUCGCCGUUUGCAUCAGUUUUGUCAGCCAGUCUGUUGCCCAAGGCAACUUCAAGAAAAAAGCAGGUAAUCAAAGUGUAUAGUGAAGAUGAUACUAGCAGAGCUUUGGAAGUACCCAGUGAUAUAACAGCCAGGGAUGUGUGUCAGCUCUUGAUAUUGAAGAACCGCUAUGUUGAUGACCACAGCUGGACUCUCUUUGAACAACUUACCCACACAGGUUUAGGAAGAGCUAUAGAAGACCAUGAAUUAGUGAUGGAAGUUCAAUCAAAUUGGGUAAUGGAAGAGGAAACCAAACUGUAUUUUAGAAAAAAUUAUGCAAAGUAUGAGUUUUUUAAAAAUCCUUUGAGCUUUUUUCCAGAUCACAUGAUAUCUUUUCCAAGUGAGACCAAUGCAGAUCUAAGCCACUCUGGAAUAUUACAGAUGUUUCUUAGCUCCAGCACAUAUCCUGAGAUUCAUGGUUAUUUGUAUGCAAAGGAGCAGGGGAAAAAAUCAUGGAAAAAAUUGUACUUUCUUUUGAGAAGAUCUGGCCUUUAUUUUUCCACUAAAGGUACAUCUAAGGAGCCAAGGCAUCUGCAGUUUUUCUGUGAAUUCAGCAAUAGUGAUAUGUACAUGUCUUUAACAGGCAAAAAGAUUUCUGGAGCACCAACAAACUAUGGAUUCUGCUUUAAGCCUAACAAAUCAGGAGGAACCAGAGACCUGAAACAGCUCUGUGCAGAUGAUGAACAAAGUAGGACCUGUUGGAUGACAGCAAUUAGGUUACUCAAGUAUGGGAUGCAGCUGUAUCAGAAUUACAUGCAACCAUAUCAAGGUAGAAGUGGCUGCAGCCCUUUGAAUAUAACACCUAUGAGAAGCAUUUCAGAAAAUUCUUUAGUAGCAAUGGAUUUCUCAGGACACAGAAGCAGAAUUAUAGAAAAUCCAACAGAGGCCCUUUCAGUUGCAGUUGAAGAAGGAUUAGCAUGGCGGAGGAGAGGGUGUCUCCGACUCAACUCUCAUGGUAGUCCUAUUGCCAUGUCUAACAUGGCUAUACACAGAUCUCAGUCAUGGUUCCAUCAUAAAAUCUCUAGAGAAGAGGCUCAGAGACUCAUUUUGCAGCAUGGACUUGUAGAUGGGGUAUUCCUGGUACGUGAUAGCCAAAGUAACCCCAAAACAUUUGUAUUGUCACUGAGUCAUGGAUUAAAAAUAAAACAUUUUCAAAUUGUACCAGUUGCUUCAGGUUAUGCUGCACUUAAAAAUGUCUCCUUUUAGAUAGGGUAUGCAGCCUGCUAGUUCAUGUCUCACCCAGGUAAACAGGUGCCUCAUGUUAACAUUGGUAACCUGUGCAACAGGUAUUGCAGGUGGGUAGUAGUUUACAAUUGAUUGUAAAAAGUUCAGAAGGAAACCUUUGGAAUAUAUUUGGGAUCCUGUACUGUGAAAAUUGGAGAGCCUUUUAGUUUAAAGGUAUUUUUCAGCCUUCAUGUUCUGAGCUGAUGCAAGUUCACAUCAAUGGAUUCUAUCCUGAAAUUUCAUCCGUGUGAAAGACGAAGAGUUGAUACACAGUUCUGGGACUGUCUUUUUCUAAUGAAUGUUUUCUCAUAACAGCCUUCUUAGCUUGCAGAAGAUGCUAGGUUCUUAGGCAACAGAACUUUGACAUAAGUUUUUACUUUGAGAAAUAUUAAUAGCUUUAGAAUUAGCAGUCUGUCUGGUAUUAAUUUCAAGGUUUGGAAUUAACUUGUUAGGAGGAUAACAGACAUUUGAAUUGUUAACUUUCCUUGCCUACAGUAUGUUGGCAGGAAAAUUGCAUUCAUAAAGGAAGUCAAAUGAAUGUUAAUCCAUUUUCAGGUUCUUGGCUGGAGCACAGGAAUUUUCUCACAUUGGUAAUUCCUUAACUAGCAGUAUUUGACUGGUUUGACCAAAGUCUGAAAAUAAAGAAAUUGCAAACUACUUCCAGUCAUGGUAGAAAGGGGUAGAAUAACUAGGAGUCACAAGCAGUUCAGCAGCUGCUUCAGAUAGAACAUCUUAAUUACAGUUGGAAGAUGAUGGGAAGCUAUUCUAUACCCUUGAUGAUGGUCAUACCAGAUUUACUGAUCUCAUCCAGCUAGUGGAAUUCU